UUACAGGCGUCGAACCAAUUGUCGUUUCACAUUACAGGCGUCAAACCACUUUUCUUUUCUCAUCACCAGUCGUCAAGCCACUUGCCUUUUCACAUGGCAGGUGCUAAGCUAGAAAUCUUCUAUAAAUAGAGGCCUAGUGCUUCAUUAUUUUUCACGAAUUCAUUCAAGCUAUAGAGAGAGAAAGUAUAGAGAGAAUAAGAGAGAAAAAAGAAGAG
rnacentral:lncRNA from 1 species